rnacentral:rRNA from 1 species
CUGUCGUCAGCUCGUGCCGUGAGGUGUUGGGUUCAGUCCCGCAACGAGCGCAACCCUCGCCCUUUGUUGCCAUCGGGUAAAGCCGGGCACUCUAAGGGGACUGCCAGCGACAAGUUGGAGGAAGGAGAGGAUGACGUCAAGUCAUCAUGGCCUUUAUGCCUAGGGCCACACACGUGCAACAAUGGCCGGUACAGACGGAGGCAAUGCCGAGAGGCGGAGCAAACCCGAGAAAACCGGUCCCAGUUCGGAUUGAGGUCUGCAACUCGACCUCAUGAAGUCGGAAUCGCUAGUAAUCGCAUAUCAGAACGAUGCGGUGAAUACGUUCCCGGGCCUUGUACGCACCGCCCGUCACACCACGAAAGUUUGUUGUACCCGAAGUCGGUGCCUUAACCUCGCAAGAGGAGAGAGCCGCCCAAGGUAUGGCCGAUGAUUGGGGUGAAG